rnacentral:tRNA from 1 species
AAUGAAGUGCCUGGCAAAAGGGUUAUUUUGAUAGAAUAAAUCACGUAAAUAUUUACCUUCAUUA